rnacentral:lncRNA from 15 species
UGAAAUCAGCAGAUUGUAAAGAUCCUAAAACCCUGUUAAAUUGACCCCACCCCACCUCACCCUGGUUUCAGAUACCCUUCUUUCUUGUAUAUGCUUUUCAGAGGUCUGUGCCUCUCACUUGUGUUGUACUGACUUGACUGACUUGUCCUCAUGUGCUGAGUUGGUAUACACUGACAGUCUUGUUACAGUCCACUGUGCCCAAGCGCCUGAUUAGCAGUGACAUUCUGGGGGUUUUCUUCAUAUUAAAGUCAGGGAUUCACAGCUUCAAUCUAGAACUUGGGAGAUUAUGACAGGCAGACUGGAGCUGCACAGUGUCUGUCAAUGCCUGCCUUUUGAUCAGUGAGAAGUAGACAUUUCGGUGUGAGUUCAUGAAAUCUGCAAGUCAUCUGAAUUUUUGUAGUCAGUCACCAGGUACACACAGGAUGUGGAAGUGCCUCGAAGUACUACCCGAUACCGAUGUUAAGGCCCCCCUCCUGAAAAAGCCCAGUCUGCUCUGAUUGGUCAGCAUUAUGACAAGGCCGUAGCAUCAGCCCUCCCACUUCCGCCUCAGCGUUGCUGGUGUUUAGGCAGGUAGCUCCUCACUGUUACUGAGUUUAGCAUUUCUACCGUGAAUCUGAAUUCAAUAACUGCUUCUAAACUAAAACCUUCACUACCGGACAUGUUAGAGCGGGAGUCUGACCUGAAAUCACAGAGAAAGGAACAACAUCAACAAUUAGGAUUACAGCUUUCUGUGACGUUUUCCUCAGGUACAGCAGUGAGCAGUAACCUACAGGCUACACAGCCCAGUGAAGUUAAAAAUAUUUGCUGUGAGGAGCUAAAGAGGAAAUGUGUUAGCAUGUGCAUGUAGCAUAAUAUAUAAUGUAAACUGUAAUUACCCGGAUGUGAGGAUGUUACCAUACGAAACAGACGGGAUGAAACAUUAAUCAAACAAUUGUUUCUAGUGAAGAAACAGCCAGUAAAUGUAUCAAAGUAAUCACAGUAAUAGUAGAAUGAUUACUGUAACCUCCCAUCUCUUAUAUUCUUUGUACACAUUAGUUUACUGAGACCACGGAAACUUACAUAAUGAGGCAGAAACCUGCCUGGAAUACUUUAUUCUGUACAACAUGUCAACAUAACUGAAGGAAAUACUCAUCUAAUAAAGUAAGAUGCUUAUUAGGCAAGUUACUUUAUUAGGUUAUUAGGUCAGUGUUCAUCCUGAUGUGUGAUGCUGCAGCUGUCACUGUCCUCUGAUGGGUCCAGGAACACCUGAGCUUCAUCAGGUCACUCAGAUCACCUGGAAAACAUGGCAGAUUCACUGAUAUAAUAAAGUAUAAUAUAAUACACUACAAGUACAACGGCUCAUUGUGGAUCAAAGUAGUCCUCAGUUAUAAACUAAAAUAAAGUGUCUCUGGUGGGUCGCUUGUUGCAGCUAACUGUAGUGAUGAUGUGGUGUUCUUUAUGAAGGAAACAGUUUGAGGUUACCAACUUUAUCUCAAAUAUGUAGCUAAUGGCAGCAUCUACACACAGUGCUAUAAUGAUAACAGGUAAUUUAUUUAAUCAAUUAUUGAUGAAGAAACGAAUUACAUGAGUUCCCGGUAAAA